GCGGUCCGCAGGGCGCCUCCUUGCCCGGGAGCAGAGGGAGGGCGCGGCCGGCCCCACCGAGCCUCGGGGGUCGCUUCCGGUGGCAGAGGAGGGGCGAGGGAAGCGCCCCGCGGGGCCAGCGGCGUCUCCAGUGCAGGCCGCCCGGGGACCGCGGGGUCACCAGGGCCCACGCCCAGAGGGUGGGUCGCAGCCCUCACUGUCCCUGACUCCUUCGCGGUCAGACUCCUUCUCGGGUGUCCCGACCCAACCGGUUUUGCCCCAUCACAGGAAGGUGGCGAUGUGCAGGGACAAGUGGCAUUCCGAGAAGACGUGAUCCCUGGGGCACAGAGCUCGAGGAGGCUCCCUGGUGGAAGCCAGUCUGGCUGCACGAAUUGGCAGACGGAGAAGGGCGCGGAGCUGGAUGAGUGGUGGAUGCCGCAGGGAUGCUACCGUGAACCUCGGGCAAAGCCAUGUCACGGAGGGGAAUAGGCACAGUGCUGUUCAGCGGCCUCAGCCUCUCCAGAUCAACAGCCAAGCUCCUGAGAGUCACGCCACAGGCUUCCAGUGGCUUCUGUCAGCUUCUGCCGCUCCGUCCGCCGCAGCCUACAGACGCGUGAGCAGGAGCAGGUGUGCCAGGACCAGUUCUGAGUGGCGCUCAGAACACACGGGCGUCCCAGCUGCCUCGUUGGUCCCACUGUCCUCUAACCACAGGCCAGCUCAGCUCCUGUCCUCUCCGCACCCUGCCGAUGCACCCUUCUCCAGUCGGAUUCCGGGGCCGCCGUCAUCUCCAUCCUAACCGAUGCCCACCAGUGCUGCAUCCAUCCGUGUGCCCGUCUGUUUCUCCACCCAGGGCUGCGCGUUCCGACUGCCGCUGCCCAGCAACUGGAACUAUCCCAGGUGCAUCACACAUACAAAAUACGUCUCUGCUGAAUGAGUUGAGAGUUGAGUUUACUUGGAUGGGAGGAGAGAAUCUCGUAGUAUUAGAACUUGUUUUCCAAACCCACACUUAGAAUAUUUUACAAGGACUUACGUUUCAGACAGUGAACAAAAUAUCUACCAUUUAACUUAAUGCUUUCCAUUAUUGCUAAACUCCCUGUGCUAAAACCAACUCUAGAUGUCAGAUGUAACCCCAAAUUUUUGGCUGAUAUGACUUCCAUAAGAAUAUUUUGAAGGGUUAUUCAAUUUUGGGGUUUAAAACAAACAAAAAUUAAAAGCUCAAAAUAGUGUUCUCCAGAUACCUAAACAAUCUGGGGCGAGACCUGCCUCCAGUAGGAAGUAAAUGUCCGCAGAAAGUGAAUGCGUGGGAGGGGCCUGUUUGUUGAGUGUUUGCCCAGACUGCUUGUAAUAUUUGCAGAACACAGCACCUGCACAUGAACCCGCCUCACUUUACCGGUGCUUGGUGGUUUGUGUCUGAGUUAUCUUCAUGUGCACCGUCCCCCUGAGCAUCACGAUAUCCCCAGGAGGCAGACAGCACUACCCCUAUUGUAUGAGCAAGGAUUUAGAGGCUAAACGAGAAAAGUCCUGAAGCCCCCACCUCCACUCCAAUAUGGGGGAUUGAACCCAGGGCCUCUGCACUGAGCUACAGUCCCAGGCUUUUGUAUUCUGAGGCAAGGUCUCCCUAAAUCCUCAGUUGUUCAGGCUGGGCGUUUUUUUGGUACCAGGGAUCGAACUCGGGACCUUUCGCUUAUGAGGCAGGUGCGACACCACUGAGCUGAAUCCCUGGCAGGCUGGCCUUGAAUUUGGGAUCUUCCUGCCUCAGCCUCCGAGAGGGCCAGGAUUGCAGGUGUGCGCCACCUCCUCUUCACUUAUCUCCCUCCCGAAGUGGUGAUUCUGCCUUUCUUUGGACUUUGGCUUUUUCAUUUGUAUCUGCCAGACAGGGCAUUGAAGCUUUACACAAUUUCAAGCACGCUCUUACCACAAAAAACUCCAAACCAUUCACAUAAAGCUAGUGAGAAACGUAGCUCUGUGGCUUUCCGUGUGGUGAUUCGCUCAUCUUACCCGGUCCCCGUGCUAGGUGCUGGAUUGUCCCCAUUUCACACAGGAGAAAGCUGACAUGCGGUUUAGGCUUCCUCUUUCCUUGAUUCUCUUAACCUCUGGACAGUGCCAUCUCCGAGGCCACCCCAGCUCCCAACCCUCUGACCUGGGCAGCACAGCUGGGGGAGACCCACUUGGCUCCCCAGCCUCAAGGACAACACCCCCCUAGAGACCACAGCCUGCAGGUUGCCAUGGCGCCAGGGCCCAGAGCACCGAGCCCCUCCUUUGACUCUGCACCAUGACCCUGUGACACCCCAGCCACUGCUUCUGCACGGCCUCCAGAGCAGCCUCUCCCAGUGGGUUGGCUGGAGGAGUCCCGAGCCUGCACACAGGGCUCAGGGACACCAUAGCCAGGGGCUCGGAGGAGGCUGAGCCAGAGAUCACACAUCCUGAGGACUGAGUUCAGAGUCCACUGGAUUAAUCGUCUCCAGAUAUAAUCCAGGAAUCCCCAUCAUCAGUACCCAUGACUGUGUCCUUCCAAACAAUUCAUACAUAAACAGUGGUGUCUCUGUCUAUGAAGUUAAUUUGUUUUACGAUUUGGGGGAAGAUGGCUGCAUUUGUAUUUGUGUGGGGAAGGCAGUCCUGGUUGUGUCUGUGACCCAAUGCAGAGUUUGUGAGUGGAAGCAAAGUUCUGCCACAUGCUUUUGUUUGCAAACUGAAUUGUUUGCAAACAAGCAGAAGUGUUCUUGAACCGAGGCAUUACUGUAUCGUAUCAUAUAUAUAUGCAGAACUGGGACACUGUGCAGAAAUAGAAAUACUGCAGAAGAUGCCUUCACACCCAUGGGCAGCCCUUGCAAAUGCAUCCAUAAUGGAGAUGACAAAACUGAUCUAAUAAUACACCUUUCGAGCUGUGCAAGUGACUGCCAACUUUCUGAAGAGUGUUUGAAGAAACUCUGUUGAAUUUCUUCCUUAUGUUACAUUUUUCAUAUCUCAUGUCCCUUCUUCCAGGCAGUUUAGAAGUUCUCCUAUCAAAGAUAGGAUGAUUCUCUGAAUGGGGGUAGAUGUGGCCUCUGCCAGCAAGAGUCAUCAGAGACAGUGUGAGGUGGUGCUG